CGGGGUAUAGCGCAGUUGGUAGCGCGCAUGCAUGGGGUGCAUGAGGUCCCGGGUUCGAGCCCCGGUACCCCGA
rnacentral:tRNA from 1 species